rnacentral:rRNA from 1 species
UAACGAAUAUUCCGCAAUGCGCGAAAGCGUGACGGAGCAAUGCCGCGUGCAGGAUGAAGCCCUUCGGGGUGUAAACUGCUGUCAGGGUAUAGGAAGCAAGUGACCAUACCCAAAGGAAGGGCCGGCUAACUUCGUGCCAGCAGCCGCGGUAAUACGAAGGGCUCGAGCGUUAAUCAGAAUCACUGGGCUUAAAGCGUACGUAGGCGGACUCGAAGGCAUCUUGUGAAAUCCCUCGGCUCAACCGAGGAACUGCAGGGUGAACCGUGAGUCUUGAGGCAAGUAGGGGCUGUCGGAACGCUAGGUGGAGUGGUGAAAUGCGUUGAUAUCUAGCGGAACGCCAAAGGAGAAAUCAGGCAGCUGGGCUUGUUCUGACGCUGAGGUACGAAAGCGUGGGGAGCGAACGGGAUUAGAUACCCCCGUAGUCC